rnacentral:rRNA from 1 species
GAUCCUGGCUCAGGACGAACGCUGGCGGCGUGCUUAACACAUGCAAGUCGAACGAGAAUCUACGGAUCGAGGAUUCGUCCAAGAGAAGUAGAGGACAGUGGCGGACGGGUGAGUAACGCGUGAGGAACCUGCCUUUCAGAGGGGGGACAACAGUUGGAAACGACUGCUAAUACCGCAUGACACAUUGGGGUCGCAUGGCCUUGAUGUCAAAGAUUUAUCGCUGAAAGAUGGCCUCGCG